rnacentral:rRNA from 1 species
UACGAAGGGGGGCUAGCGUUGCUCGGAUUGACUGGGCGUAAAGGGCGCGUAGGCGGUUCGUACAGUCAGACGUGAAAUUCCUGGGCUCAACCUGGGGGCUGCGUUUGAUACGUGCGGACUUGAGUGCGGAAGAGGGUCGUGGAAUUCCCAGUGUAGAGGUGAAAUUCGUAGAUAUUCGCAAGAACACCGGUGGCGAAGGCGGCCAACUGGACCAUUACUGACGCUGAGGCGCGAAAGCGUGGGGAGCAAACAGG